GUCCCGUUAGCUCAGGUGGUAGAGCAACUGACUUUUAAUCAGUGGGUCGUAGGUUCAAGUCCUACACGGGACACCA
rnacentral:tRNA from 1 species